GAACGCUUAAGGUGCGUUCUAAUAUCCAUCAAAUUACAGUUGCAUAGCUCAUUUAAUAAUUUCACAUGAAGCCAAAUCUUGGAGGGUGAGAAAGUUUGGUUAUUCUCUAUCAGUAUUACUAGCGGACAAAGUGCCCCCCAAGCCCCGGAAAAUCAAUCAACAAACAAAACCUCAAUUCAAAAGUUCUUCAGCCCAAAUAUUUGUAUGCCAAUUAAAUCAAGCCAUGCCUUAAGUACUUAUCAGGUGUUCAACCAAAUACAUGAGUCAGCAGUAUAGCAACCCGCAAAAUUAGGUAUAAUAAUUUGGUCAUCUACAAAAGGGAUUCAUCAUCAGUCACAAGAAAAUGAAGCUUUUUUUUUAUUUUAUUUACAAAAGUCUACAAAUCUGAACCUUAUAGUAUCUUAUUGAGAUAGGUAGUCGUCCCACACUGUGCAAGUGCUUUAAAGGGGUUUAUAAUUAUCUUGGGCCAUUCCAUUAGGUUUUGAUGCUCAAAUUCUGAUUAAUCUAACUCUAGAAAGCAAAAACUAUUUCUUUUUAUAAAGAUUUUGCCGAUUCGUUUAAAACAAAGGCUGAACCUUUUGUGCUUUCUUUUUAAGCUACACAGAAUAAUGCUGAUAAUAGAGAGCCCGGCAACCUAAAAGACCUGCUGCUGUGGUACUUAAAGCAAAAGCUAGAAGAUCUUAAAACCUAAGGUUCUAAAGCUUAAAGUUUUUAAUCCUUUAAAGUACUAACUUCGUAAUAGAAUAAUUCAGCAUUUUAAAAUCCAGAAUCAGAAAAGGAAAAAAACAGAUCUAAACAGACUUUAAAAAAGCAGAAAACACACUUAAAGAACAAA
rnacentral:lncRNA from 1 species